GCUUUACACAUGCAAGUCGAACGCAGAUGUAAAUCUGAGUGGCGGACGGGUGAGUAACGCGUAGGAAUCUACCUAAGUGUGGGGGAUAACAUGGAGAAAUUCAUGCUAAUACCGCAUACGCCCCACGGGGUAAAGAGGGCCUCUUCUUGAAAGCUCUUGCAUUUAGAUGAGCCUGCGUCGGAUUAGCUUGUUGGUGGGGUAAUGGCCUACCAAGGCGACGAUCCGUAGCUGGUCUGAGAGGACGAUC
rnacentral:rRNA from 1 species